rnacentral:misc_RNA from 1 species
UUUGGGAAAAGUUGUCUAUGGCAGUAAAAAAAGGCAAGGGGCUUGUCCAAGAACGAGAAAAAUUGAAAGGAGCAUUGGAUGAGAAGAGUGCUGAAAUUGAGAAGCUGAAGUCAGAUUUACAUCAGCAAGAAUCUCUAUCUAAUGACCACAAGUUGCAGAUUGAUAAGCUCUCAGCUGAGAUGCACCGUAUCCCUCAACUAGAAGCUGAUCUUGUUGCUAUGAAGGAUCAAAGGGAUCAACUAGAAGCUGAUCUUGUUGCUAUGAAGGAUCAAAGGGAUCAACUAGAAACUGAUCUUGUUGCUAUGAACAAUCAAAGGGAUCAACUAGAACAGUUCUCAGUGGAAAGGAAUAACAUGCUUCAAAAGGUUAUCGAGUUGCUUGAUGGUAUUGUUCUUCCGGCUGACUUGGGUUUUCAAGAUCCCAUUGAAAAGUUCAAAUGGAUUUCAGGAUAUGUACGUGAAAGCCAAACUGCAAAGAUGGAGGCGGAGCAGGAGUUGGGGCAAGUUAAAGAUGAAGCCAGUUCUUUAGCCAACAAAUUGUUAGAGGUCCAGAAAACCAUUAAAUCCCUAGAAGAUGCAUUAUCUACUGCGGAUAACAACAUCUCACAGCUCCUGGAGGACAAAAAUGAGUUAGAAGCUGCG